rnacentral:rRNA from 1 species
UACGUAGGGGCCAAGCGUUGUCCGGAUUUAUUGGGCGUAAAGAGCUCGUAGGCGGUUCGGCAAGUCAGCUGUGAAAUCUCCACGCUCAACGUGGAGGGGUCAGCUGAUACUGCUGUGACUCGAGUCCGGUAGGGGAGUGUGGAAUUCCCGGCGUAGCGGUGAAAUGCGCAGAUAUCGGGAGGAACACCAGUAGCGAAGGCGACCAUCUGGACGGAUACUGACGCUGAGACGCGAAAGCGUGGGGAGCAAACAGG